GUGCGGCCUCCGCCGAGUCCGGCCCGUCCUCGUGGCAGCCGGAGCCGGGGACCCACCGAACCUGGGGUGAAUCGGCCAACUGCCCUACGGGGCUGGGGCCGUAGGGCAUACCUUCCGGAACCGUCCGCCCGAACCCGACAGCUAACCCGGUAGGCGGACGACGGAAGGAGUG
rnacentral:sRNA from 2 species